rnacentral:rRNA from 1 species
AUAACCUUUAUACGGUGAAACUGCGAAUGGCUCAUUAUAUCAGUUAUAAUUUACAUGAUGAUGACUUGCUACAUGGAUAACCGUGGUAAUUCUAGAGCUAAUACAUGCAAAGGGCCCGCGAGGGUGGCAUUUAUUAGAUGGAACCAGCGAAAGAUGGUGAAUCAUGAUAACUGAGCGGAUCGCAUGGCCUCGAGCUGGCGACGCUUCAUUCAAAUUUCUGCCCUAUCAACUUUGGAUGGUAGGAUAGAGGCCUACCAUGGUGGUGACGGGUGACGGGGAAUUGGGGUUCGAUUCCGGAGAGGGAGCCUGAGAGAUGGCUACCACUUCCAAGGAAGGCAGCAGGCGCGCAAAUUACCCAAUCCCGACACGGGGAGGUAGUGACAGUAAAUAACGAUGCGGGGCCGUAUGGUCUUGCAAUUGGAAUGAGAGGAAUGUAAAUGCGUUAGCGAGUAACGAUU